CGUUGCUGGGUACUCGUGGUUUAACUAUUCUAUUUGUGUGAUUAUUGAUUAACUUCGACUUGAUUUUUUUUAUUUUUUUUUGUUUAAUGCUAACAAUUUUUUCUAGGGUUUUGUGCCUAAUGCUUGCAGGAUGCAAUUCGGGCAAGAAUUUAAUUAUAUGGGCACUCAAUUCCACCAAGGUAAUCUCAACCACAGAUGGAACCUUCACUCAAGCAUGGGUCAAAGUCAAUGGCAGCAACAGCUCUCUCUAUCAUUAGAAAGAAUGGCAAAGAUGGAUGAAACACUUCAACAGUUGAUGCAGAUGUUUGUUUCUCAUCAUAAACGCACUGAAGUGGCAAUCAAA
rnacentral:lncRNA from 1 species